CCUACGGGAGGCUGCAGUGGGGGAUAUUGCACAAUGGGGGGAACCCUGAUGCAGCGACGCCGCGUGGGUGAAGAAGCGCCUCGGCGCGUAAAGCCCUGUCAGUAGGGAAGAAAAUGACGGUACCUGAAGAAGAAGCACCGGCUAACUACGUGCCAGCAGCCGCGGCAAUACGUAGGGGGCAAGCGUUAUACGGAUUUACUGGGUGUAAAGGGGGCGCAGGCGGCGAUGCAAGCCAGGGGUGAAAGCCCGGGGCCCAACCUCGGGACUGCUCUUGGAACUGCGUGGCUGGAGUGCAGGAGGGGCAGGCGGAAUUCGUGGUGUAGCGGUGAAAUGCGUAGAUAUCAGGAAGAACUCCGGUGGCGAAGGCAGCCUGCUGGACUGCAACUGACGUUGAGGCCCGAAAGCGUGGGGAGCAAACAGGAUUAGAUACCCUUGUAGUC
rnacentral:rRNA from 1 species